AUUGAACGCUGGCGGCAGGCCUAACACAUGCAAGUCGAGCGAGCGGCGGACGGGUGAGUAAUGUAUGGGGACUGCCCGAUAGAGGGGGAUAACUACUGUAACCGGUGGCUAAUACCGCAUACUGUCGCAUAACCUAUAUGGGAUUAGCUAGUAGGUAAGGUAAUUGCUUACCUAGGCGACGAUCCCUAGCUGGUCUGAGAGGAUGAUCAGCCACACUGGGACUUGGACACGGCACAGACUCCUACGGAGGAAGAAGUGGGGAAUAUUGCACAAUGGGCGCAAGCCUGAUGCAGCCAUGCCGCGUGUAUGAAGAAGGCCCUAGGGUUGUAAAGUACUUUCAGUCGGGAGGCGUUACCGACAGAAGAAGCACCGGCUAACUCCGUGCCAGCAGCCGCGGUAAUAC
rnacentral:rRNA from 1 species